ACUUCAGCCUGGGCAACAGACUGAGACCCUGUCUCAAAAAAAAAAAAAAAAAAUUAAAGAGUUGUAUGAGGCGCCAGCUUCCUCAGAAGGCUAGUGAAGUGGAUCAUCUUUUCCAGAAGUUCGGCAUCAAUCAGCACCCCAGCCUUUGUGCUCUUCUGACUAUAAUAUGGAUGUGCUCCAUUGAAAGUUGGGAUCCAUGGGCCCUUGCCUUGAACCUGGGCUUUGUGCCAUUGAAAGUAAUGGCAAAACCCGCAAUUACUUUUGCACCAAAUAAUAACUUCCCCAGUGAGGGUAGAAUGGGUGAGGAAGGGCCUGCAGAGCUCCUGAGGAUAAAAGAGAAAAAGCAAUGCAGUAUCCUCUCGGUCUGUCUCCGGACGCUGUCCUUACAGACCAGCCAGUGUGUUCUGAGGAAGGCCAGGCACAGGAGGAGGCCAUGCAUGUGAGAGUCCCAGCAACAGCCCAGCCGGGCCCCUCCAGCCUGGAGCCUCCCAGUAGAGGCUGUAGACAAGGUGUCUCACUGCCCAGGGCCAACUUCCAGCCCAGAAAACCAUAGCACCAGCAAAGGAGGUCAGCAGGUGGGGGGCCUCCAUAUCCAGAGGUUCUGCAUCUGCGUGCUCAUUCAACCAUGAAUUGAAAAUAUUUGGGAAUAUUUUCAAUUAAUAAAUAAAAAAUAAUACAACAAAAAAGUAAUAUAAAUUAAAAAUACAGGAUAACUAUUUACCUAGUAUUUAAUUGUAUUAGCUAUUAUAAGUAAUCUAGAGAUGAUUUAAAGUAUACAGGAGGAUGUGCACAGGUUAUAUGCAAAUACUACACCAUUUUAUAUAGGGACUUGAAUAUCCACAGAUUUUGGUAUCCAUGGGGGUGUCUUGGAAACAAUCUCUCACAGCUACCAAGGGACAACUGUUUUUACUAGUUUUAAGCUACUGAUUUUCAAGGUAAUUUUAUUACACAGCAAUUGAUACUUCUUUUACAUUAUUUCCCCUAGAUCAUAUGCCAGGUGGUCGCCCCUCUUCAACCCAAAAGGUGUGUGGAUUUCAGUCUUGAGUGGCAGAAGCAGGGUAGGCUUGCACUUGAGAUGACCCUAGGGACAGCAGAAGCCAAGGGUAACAGCUUCCUGAAAACAGAAUGAGCUGAAAGACCUCACGGUAAAGAAGGAGACCUCUCUCAGCGCUUUCCUCCAUCCCUGUUCCCAGGAUGCUGGUGCCAGGCUUAUUGCCCAGGAGACAGGAGGCUGCAGAUGCACUGUCUGGGCAGCUCACUCAACAGAUGCUGGCAGGUGUACAUGUUUGGAGUCCCCAGAGGAACAGCUGGGUCCUCAUCCAAUUACAGAAAACAGGUAUCCCCCAUGCACAGAGCUCCUGAAAGUCUCUUUCAGGCCUUACUCUUAAACAUGAGCAGACAGGCUAAGAGCAAACAUCUGAGUACAUCCUCUUGUUAGUAAGGAAGAAAACUAUGCAGAAAAAGACAAGGCAGGGAAUGGAAGGCAGCUCCGAAAAGAUAUUUCUGGCUUUCUUUUUUCUUUGUAGGUUAAAAGAAAUCUGAAAACAGAAUGCUAUUUUUUUUUUUAAUGUAAAGAACAUUAGAGACCAGAAAUAGAUGAUCUCUUGGGAAUUUAAAACUAAGGUGAGAAUUUAAAAUUUCAAUAGAAAUAUUGAAAGAUAAAAAUGAAGGGUUCUCCCAAAAAAUAGAACCAAAAAUUCCAAAUUCCAAUGUUGAAACAUUUUUAAGUAAAAAUGUUAGAGGUCUGAUCCAGGAGGUACACCAUCCAACUAAGGAUAAUUAUAGAAAAAGAAAAUAAAGCAUAUGGAGCAGCGAAAAUUAUUUUUAAACAGAAAAAUAGGAACUAUCACUGAACUGAGAGAAGCUUCCAGAAUGAAAAGGCCCAGCCAAAUGAAUGAAAAAAGACACACACAGGCACAUCAUAAAAUUUUAGAACAUCUAGGAUAAAAAGAAUCUUCCCAAAAGCUUCCAACGAAACGAAAUGAAAACAAAUAUGGGGGGGGGGCGAGUCACAUACACAAAGCAGGUGUCAGAAUGGCAUGGCACUUCUCAAGACUACGACCCGAGGCUAGGAUUCAGUGUAAUCAUAAUGCCUUCAAAUGCUGAGGUUUCCAAUCGAGAAUUAUCUACCUUGACAAAAUAUCAAUCCUGAUAUAAUAAAGGCAUUUUCAGAUAUGCAAGGUAUAAAAUUUCUAAUUCCCAUGCAGUAUUUUACAGGCUCUACAGAGGAUGUGCUUAAUCAAAAGGAAGAAAUCAGCCAGGCAAAAGGAAGACCCAGAUGUGCACGGCAGGGGAUCACCUAAAGGAGGGAAAUGGUAAAGAAAGCCCAGUUCAGCAGCUGUGCCAGGUCUAGGCAGUAUAAAAUCUAGACUGGAACAAGGGGAUUGAGGGCUCAAAAAACAAAAAAUGUCUCCGAGGGAAAAAAAGACAUCAAACAAACAGAACACCUAAUAUAUCUGACAUAUGGCAAGUUUUAUGGUACUAUUAGGCUAUUUCAGGUGUUAGUGAUAGGUAAAAUAAAUAAGAAAUAAAAAACAGUGAUAGGUGGCUUAUUUUUUAAUAUCCUAUUACUGGAGUAGGAGCAAAAAAAAUGAGCAAACAAAAAAGUGAAACAAUUAUUAAUUUUACGAAAACCAUAAAUUUUAACAAAAAAAAAUCAGAAUAUAUUACAUGGCUCACCUGCAAAUAUUUACACAGCCAUAAUUCAAAUACAGAACAGAGAUUAAACAAAACAAUCAUACAGUUACUAUUGUGGGGAUAUGGGGGAGAAGAAAUGAGGGUCGGUAUGUGUCUGGGGGUAGAAUAGGGGAGACAAAGCUAAAAUCCUGAGCCAAAUCCUCAUCUCCCAUAAUGGGAAGUCAGUAGAUAAUGUUCACAAUCAAAAAGCCAACAGAUAAGUCUAAAUGAAAAGAGGGUGGCCAGUGCUGAAAGGAAAGCGAAAUGGAGUUGAAAGAGGCAAGGGGCAUGGGUGGGAAAUACGGCAGGGUCAUGUUUUGUCAUUUUAAGCAAAAUUGUUUAAAUUACUGCACGUGUAAACUUUGCUAAAAAUAAAAUCUAACCUGAAAAGAAAACGUGACUAUGAAGUAAGGAAUGGGAGACAGCCUAGACCACUCUUCACAGCGUAUUGGCAGUGGGAGGAAAAGACUCCCAUGGUCCACAAGCACUUCCCAAACCCCAACACACACACACACACACACACACACACACACACACACACACACACACACACGGGAUUUCCUAAUAGCUUUUUAGUGCCCAUCCCUUAAAUAAUAAUGAGGAACCAGGGAUCAAAGAGGCAAGAGGUGAAAGGCUGUGCUGAAGAAACACAGGAAGAGAAGAAAACAAACAAAAACUUCUAAUAUAUAUCACCAGUAAGAUAAAAUCCUAUAUGCAUGAAUCAGGAACCAGAUACUAUGUUUUCAAAAGAAAUAUAAAGGGAAGGAAAGGAGUGAGAGAAGGAAGAGAAUGCACGCCAGCCCAGAAAACAAUUCAAGAGCUCUUACAUUUAAAAGAAUAAUAGGAUCCCUCAAAUGGAAAAUGUAAUAAGCAAUUUAGAAAAUACAGCUGAGAAUAUCACCCAGAAAUCAAAACAACAAAAGAUGAAAAUCUGUAAAGAAAAACUUAGAAAAUUAGAGGAUAAAAUGAUAGUCUAAUAUCCAACUAAGGACUUAAAAAAAUGGGAAAAAAAUAGAAAUGAAAUCAUUGCAGAAAAUUAAAAACAUGAGUUUGUCUACAAAGACCUGCCAAGUGCCCAGCAAAGCAAAGGAAAACAGAUCUAGAUCAAGGAAAAAUGUCAGAACACAAAGGCCAAAGAGAAGACCCUGAAAGCUUCCUGAAGGGGAACACGUUUCUUACAAAAGAUCCAGAUCAAGAAUCAGAAUGAUGCAGGUCUGUAACAUCAGCUGUCACAAUACAUAGGAGGAGAUGCCUCCAGAGUGUGUACAGACUAGAAUUCCGUGCCCAGCCACACUCACCAAAUUGUAAGGGUAGAAUAAAGCCAUCUCCUGGCAUUUGAGGAAAACUAACCUUUGAACCAUCCUCUCUCAGGAAGCCACUAGAAGAUGUGCUCCACCAAGAAGGGGUAAACCAAGAAAGGAGAUGACAUGAGGGCCACACGACAGAGACUCAAACCAAGAGAGAAGCCCAGAAAGGUCCUAGGGGGAUGGCCAAGGGCCCUUCCAAGAUGCCAACCAGCCAGCAGGCCACAACAGCAGCAGCCACGUCUGACAGAACAGUGAUCACUGAAGCAUCAGGAUUUGUGGGGAUUCACAAGUAACAUGAUGGUGGGAGGAGGCAACCCUGCCUCCGAUGAUGAGCCGAAAAUAGCUGAAGAUGGUACAACCAAGAGCAAAGCAACCUGGCUCAGAGCCGAAAUUUCAUCUCCUCCUCAGCCUCUCACAGAGAAGCCAGGAAGAGUCUGAUUGGCUUGCAAUCGGGUAAACAAAAAUACAUAAAUAAAUAAAGUCACUGAUCCUGA